rnacentral:rRNA from 1 species
UACGGGGGGAGCAAGCGUUGUUCGGAUUUACUGGGCGUAAAGGGCGCGUAGGCGGCCACCGCAAGUCAGUUGUGAAAGCUCUGGGCUUAACCCAGAAAGGUCAGCUGAUACUGCGGGGCUAGAGUGCAGAAGGGGCAACUGGAAUUCUCGGUGUAGCGGUGAAAUGCGUAGAUAUCGAGAGGAACACCUGCGGCGAAGGCGGGUUGCUGGGCUGACACUGACGCUGGACAGCGCGAAAGCUAGGGGAGCGAACGGG